rnacentral:precursor_RNA from 1 species
AGGUUGUCCGUGAUGUAUUUGCUUUAUUUGUGGCAGAUAUUGCACGGUUGAUCUC